rnacentral:rRNA from 1 species
GAUGAACGCUGGCGGCGUGCCUAACACAUGCAAGUCGAACGGUGAACCUUGCUUUUAGUAAGGGGAACAGUGGCGGACGGGUGAGUAGCACGUAGGUGACCUGCCCCAAAGAGGGGAAUAACCAUUCGAAAGGAUGGCUAAUACCCCGUAAGGUCGGCCAUUCGGUUGGUCGAUUGAAGCUUCUCGUAAGGGGAGCGCUUUGGGAGGGGCUUGCGGCCCAUCAGCUAGUUGGUAGGGUAAUGGCCUACCAAGGCGAAGACGGGUAGCUGGUCUGAGAGGACGAUCAGCCACAAUGGCACUGAAACACGGGCCAUACUCCUACGGGAGGCUG